UAGUGCCACCGGCCGCCCGCAGCACCCACGCCGGCCGGCAAAAGCCCCCACCGGCGGCGGCGGCGGCGCGCGCUAUCAAUCCCCACCUCGCCGCCGAUGGUGGCGUCGCGUCCUCGGCCGAGCCGGCACGGGAUGGGGGCGUCGGCGCCGGUGGUGCUCCCCGCUCCCGCCGGCGCCCCGCGGGUCGAGGCCGCCGGAUCCGCGGCCACGACGGGCGCGAGGCCCCUCCAGGUCACCGCCUCCGCCGGCCCGACCCGCGGCGCCUCGGCCGUUGCUGCCGCCCCCGCCCCGCCGCAUCCGCCUCCGGCGUCCGUCGAGGAGGGGGCCGCUCGUGUCCAGGAGAGGCGGCGGCCGGCGGGCGGCCCCGCGUCCUCGAGCGGCGAGGAGCCCCUCUCGCCCGAGCUCCAGCUGGCGGUCGCCGAGGAGUUGCUCUAUCGCCUGGGCACGGCGCAAGAGAAGAGGGAGCUAUCGGACGGCGAGCUCUCUCUCGUCAAGUUCCUGCUGGAUGGGAUGCCCACCUUGGAGGCUGCCGCGGGGGCGUGCGGCGAGCGCCACUCGGCGCCGAGGUGGGGGUUCAUGGUGCGGGCUCCGGUGCGCUGGGCCGGCCUGCGGCGCGCUGCUUCUCGUCCCCGUCCGCCUCCUUCAGGAGGAGAACCACUCGCGCCUGCGCUUCAGCUGGAGAUUGCCAAGGAGGUGGUCAGUCGCCUGACCUCUCUUGUUAACUUCCUGGAGGAUAGGAUCCCAGGUUUGAAGGCUGCUGCCUCGGGGGUCAGCGGUGGAGCAGCUCAGCCACUGUCCAAGGUGGCUCCCUCUGGUCGGGUGCCGGCGAAGGCGAGGCGCGCUGUUGCCGCGAACUUGUCGCCGGUGGCCACCCUGCGUCCCGGAGGGAAGGUUGCUACGCCCGCUGCUGCUGCACAUUGCACCGUUGGCCAGCAGGUCGUUACCAGGCACUUGGGUGAGGGAGAUGCCCAUGCUACCUCUGGUGUGCAUAGCAAGAUGCCAGAGGCCAAUGUCGGCCAUGAGCAUCAUACAGGGCAAGAAUCGUCAAGUGAAGAUGAAUCCUUGUCCUCGUCCUCAUCUUCUUCAAGCAAGGAACCCCUCACACCGGCGCUUCUGCUGGAAAUUGCUAAGGAGUUGAUUAAUGGCUUUACCAUGGCACAAGAAUAUAGGAUGCUUUCAACCAGUGAGCAAUCUCUCAUUAAGUUCCUGGAGGGUAGGAUCCCUGGCUUGGAGGCAGAGGUUGCCUCGGAGGUUUGCAGUGGUGGAGAAACUCUGUCCCCAUCCAAGGUGGCGUCCUCUGGUCAAGCUUGUCUCAAGGCUAAGGCGAGGCGCGUUAUUGUCUCAAUCUUGUCACGGCCGGAGAAUACCCUAAUUCGCCCAGGGCUGUCUGCGCCGCUGGUGCACCCACUGUCUCAUCAGGUUGGUGCGCCGCUGGUGAACCCACGUUCUCACCAGGUUGCUGCGCCAGCUGCAUAUGUUACCGUUGACCAGCAGGUCAUUACCAGGUACUCGGGUGAGGAAGAUGCCUAUACUAGCUCUGGUGUAGACAACAAGAUGCCAGAGGCCAAUGCCAUCCAUGAGCAUCAUACGGGGCAAGAAUUGUCAAGUGAAGAUGAAUCUUUGUCCUCGUCCUCAUCUUCUUCAAGCAAAGAACCCCUCGCACCUGCGCUUCUGCUGGAAAUUGCUAAGGAUCUGAUUAAUGGCUUGACCAUGGCACAAGAAAAGAGGAUGCUUUCAACCGAUGAGCACUCUCUCAUUAAGUUCCUGGAGGAUAGGAUCCCCGGCUUGGAGGCAGAGAUUGCCUCGGAGGUUUGCGGUGGUGGAGAAACUCUGUCCCCAUCCAAGGUGGCAUCCUCUCAUGCUUGUCUGCAGGCUGAGGCGAGACACGUUAUUGCCACGAUCUUGUCACGGCCAGCGACUACCCUAUUUCGCCCAGGGCUGUCUGCAUCGCUGGUGCACCCACUGUUUCACCAGGUUGCUGCGCCAGCUGCAUAUGUCACCAUCGACCAGCAGGUUGUUACCAGGUUCUCAGGUGAGGAAGAUGCCUAUGCUACCUCUGAUGUACACAACAAGAUGCCAGAUGCCAGUGUCAGUCAUGAUCAUGGUAGAGGACAAGAGUUGUCAAGUGAAUAUGACAGUGGGUGUGAUCUAGGGAUUGUUACUGAAAAGAGCAGUACUACUAUUGCUCCAGAAACAGCUCCACCACCUUCAGAUGGUGACAGUACAGCAGAAUCAUCAGGUAUUUCAAAUCGUUGGGGCACGGCACCAGAAGCUAAAGACUUCGAUGACCUCGGGCUUCCAGAUGACCUUGGAAUUUACUGACUCUUAAGCAGUAAUGUCAUACCAUGAGCAAACUUACCAGCUGAUUGUAUGGUUAGUACAUUGCCAGCUUUGAUUAGCGACUUAGAUUGGUCGUUAUAUUGCUGUUUUCAUAGUAUACUGUUUUUGUUUUAGUAGAGGAGCAGUACCGUGUUGGCCAGUGCUGUGAUUGUGCAAGAUUAUUGUACAUGGCUAUUUUGGCCUUUCCUGUCUUAAUGCAAAAGGUAUCACUGAAACAAGAAUUUGAUCGGUGGGAGGUGUUCAUCUUCAAUGACUCUUAGGUGGUUUCAGUGUCAGUUCAGCAAGAUCCUUAGUACAAAAGAGUAUGGGAAUAUGAUGAUAUUAGAUCUUGAGUCUAAGCAAUUAUCAAUCAUUUCAGGUACAGAAGAAGUAUUUCUAUUACAGAAUGAUGCCUAUUUUGAGCGCAUGUUAAAUAGUUGGCUAUCAUGAAGGAUCAAUCAGUUUGUUAUGGCCUAUAUAAAGAAUUAAAUAUUGCAAUACUUUCAUAUUUUGUUGGCUGAUCAAGUGGUACUGUGGGUACACAACUCAUUAGGAUGUGCUGGGAAACAUAAA